rnacentral:lncRNA from 1 species
AACCUGUGUGUAACCCAGGUGUAACCCAGGUGUAACCUGUGGGUAACCUGUGUGUAACCUGUGUGUAACCCCGGUGUAACCUGUGUGUAACCUGUGUGUAACCUGUGUGUAACCCAGGUGUGUCCCAGGGGUAACCCAGGUGUAACCUGUGUGCAACCUGUGUGUAACCUGUGUGUAACCCAGGUGUGUUCUCAAUGUACCCAGGUGUAACCCAGGUGUAACCCCAGGUGUAACCCCGGUGUAUCCCAGGUGUAUCCCAGGUGUAACCCAGGUGUAACCCAGGUGUAUCCCAGGUGUAACCCCGGUGUAACCCCGGUGUAUCCCAGGUGUAACCCAUGUGUGUCU